rnacentral:rRNA from 1 species
UGGGGAGUAUUGGACAAUGGGGGCAACCCUGAUCCAGCAAUGCCGCGUGUGUGAAGAAGGUCUUCGGAUUGUAAAGCACUUUCGACGGGGACGAUGAUGACGGUACCCGUAGAAGAAGCCCCGGCUAACUUCGUGCCAGCAGCCGCGGUAAUAUGAAGGGGGCUAGCGUUGCUCGGAAUGACUGGGCGUAAAGGGCGUGUAGGCGGUUUACACAGUCAGAUGUGAAAUCCCCGGGCUUAACCUGGGAGCUGCAUUUGAUACGUGUAGACUAGAGUGUGAGAGAGGGUUGUGGAAUUCCCAGUGUAGAGGUGAAAUUCGUAGAUAUUGGGAAGAACACCGGUGGCGAAGGCGGCAACCUGGCUCAUGACUGACGCUGAGGCGCGAAAGCGUGGGGAGCAAACAGGAUUAGAUACCCUGGUAGUCCACGCUGUAAACGAUGUGUGCUAGAUGUUGGGCUAACUUUGUUAUUCAGUGUCGCAGUUAACGCGUUAAGCACACCGCCUGGGGAGUACGGCCGCAAGGUUGAAAC